rnacentral:rRNA from 1 species
GUGCCAGCCGCCGCGGUAAUACCGGCAGCUCAAGUGAUGUCCCAUAUUAUUGGGCCUAAAGCGGCCGUAGCUGGCUGCGCAAGUCCGUCGGGAAAUCCACUCGCCCAACGAGUGGGCGUCCGACGGAAACUGCACAGCUUGGGACCGGAAGGCUCAGAGAGUACGUCCGGGGUAGGAGUGAAAUCCCGUAAUCCCGGACGGACUACCGAUGGCGAAAGCACUCUGAGAAGACGGCUUCGACAGUGAGGGACGAAAGCUAGGGUCUCGAACCGGAUUAGAAACCCCUGUAGUCC